AACGAACGCUGGCGGCAGGCCUAACACAUGCAAGUCGAACGGUAACAGAAAGCAGCUUGCUGCUUUGCUGACGAGUGGCGGACGGGUGAGUAAUGUCUGGGAAACUGCCUGAUGGAGGGGGAUAACUACUGGAAACGGUAGCUAAUACCGCAUAAUGUCGCAAGACCAAAGAGGGGGACCUUCGGGCCUCUUGCCAUCGGAUGUGCCCAGAUGGGAUUAGCUUGUUGGUGGGGUAACGGCUCACCAAGGCGACGAUCCCUAGCUGGUCUGAGAGGAUGACCAGCCACACUGGAACGGAGACACGGUCCAGACUCCUACGGGAGGCAGCAGUGGGGAAUAUUGCACAAGGGGCGCAAGCCUGAUGCAGCCAUGCCGGGUGGAUGAAGAAGGCCUUCGGGUUGUAAAGUACUUUCAGCGGGGAGGAAGGGAGUAAAGUUAAUACCUUUGCUCAUUGACGUUACCCGCAGAAGAAGCACCGGCUAACUCCGUGCCAGCAGCCGCCGUAA
rnacentral:rRNA from 1 species